rnacentral:rRNA from 1 species
AGGGUUCGAUUCUGGCUCAGAACGUACGCUGGCGGCACGCCUAACACAUGCAAGUCGAACGAAGUAGCAAUACUUAGUGGCAGACGGGUGAGUAACAUGUAGGUAUCUGCCCUUUGGCCUGGAAUAACACGAGGAAACUUGUGCUAAUACCGGAUAAGUCUUUACGGAGAAAGCUUUAUGCACCAUUGGAUGAGCCUGCACUUGAUUAGUUUGUUGGUGGGGUAAUGGCCUACCAAGACUGUGAUCAAUAGCUGAUUUGAGAGGAUGAUCAGCCACAUUGGGACUGAGACACGGCCCAAACUCCUACGGGAGGCAGCAGUGGGGAAUCUUGCACAAUGGAGGAAACUCUGAUGCAGCGAUGCCGCGUGAGUGAAGAAGGCCUUUGGGUUGUAAAGCUCUUUCGUCGGGGAAGAAAAUGACUGUACCCGAAUAAGAAGGUCCGGCUAACUUCGUGCCAGCAGCCGCGGUAAUACGAAGGGACCUAGCGUAGUUCGGAAUUACUGGGCUUAAAGAGUUCGUAGGUGGUUGAAAAAGUUGGUGGUGAAAUCCCAGAGCUUAACUCUGGAACUGCCAUCAAAACUUUUCAGCUAGAGUGUGAUAGAGGAAAGCAGAAUUUCUAGUGUAGAGGUGAAAUUCGUAGAUAUUAGAAAGAAUACCAAUUGCGAAGGCAGCUUUCUGGAUCAUUACUGACACUGAGGAACGAAAGCAUGGGUAGCGAAGAGGAUUAGAUACCCUCGUAGUCCAUGCCGUAAACGAUGUGUGUUAGACGUUGGAAAUUUAUUUUCAGUGUCGCAGCGAAAGCGAUAAACACACCGCCUGGGGAGUACGACCGCAAGGUUAAAACUCAAAUGAAUUGACGGGGACCCGCACAAGUAGUGGAGCAUGUGGUUUAAUUCGAAGAUACGCGCAGAACCUUACCAACACUUGACAUGUUCGUCGCGACUUUAAGAGAUUAAAGUUUUCGGUUCGGCCGGACGAAACACAGGUGCUGCAUGGCUGUCGUCAGCUCGUGUCGUGAGAUGUUGGGUUAAGUCCCGCAACGAGCGCAACCCUCACUUUUAGUUGCCAUCAUUAAGUUGGGCACUCUGAAAGAACUGCCAGUGAUAAGCUGGAGGAAGGUGGGGAUGACGUCAAGUCCUCAUGGCCCUUACGUGUUGGGCUACACACGUGCUACAAUGGUAUCUACAACAGGAAGCAAGACUGCGAAGUUAAGCAAAUCCUUAAAAGAUACCUCAGUUCGGAUUGCACUCUGCAACUCGAGUGCAUGAAGCUGGAAUUACUAGUAAUCGUGGAUCAGCGUGCCACGGUGAAUGCGUUCCCGGGUCUUGUACACACCGCCCGUCACACCAUGGGAGUUGGUUCUACCUUAAGGCAAGGUUUAAAACCCUUGACCACGGUAUAGUCAGCGACUGGGGUGAAGUCGUAACAAGGUAACCA